GAACAAAUUAUUAAGACAAACAAGACCAUUGGCUGGUUUAUUGGUUAUCAGAGUGGAUCCAGAUUUGCAGCAUGCUUUCAGUGUUACUUCAAUGCUGCACCAGGUUAACUGCAAUGAGUUUUCCAAGAACUUCUCAUUCCUGUCAAUUUGGUGUGACCCGGACUUCUAGAGUUAUCUGAGGGACAAGUCGUCAAGGCACUUUUAAAAAAUGUACGCGGACCUCCGCUGCACGGUACAAUUUCCGUCUGCGCCAUCGGCUUUGCCGGGAUUUUUUCCCCCCUUCCCCAAGCUGACAAAGCGCAGACGACCACGACGACCACUUACUAUCGACGCAAUAGUCGUAUCGUGAAAAAUUGUUUCUCUUUUAAA